rnacentral:tRNA from 1 species
AAGGCCUUAAGUUAAUUACACUAAACUAAUAACCUUCAAAGCUAUAAAUAAAGGAUUUCCUUUAGGCCUUG